GGUUACUAUACAUACAAAGAAAAUGAAAAUCAGAGAGCUUCAGUGAUUUUCAAGUUGACUCAGCAGUAAGUGAUGGGGCUUCCGCCAAACCGAACGUGUAAUAAAGCAGAGUGGAAGCAUGCAGACUUCAGAGGCAGGACUGAAGGUGAAUCCGAUGCCAGCAGCAAAUGAGUGCACAGAGGGCUGUGAAGUGGAAGGACUAAAAGCACCAGAGGAAUAGGGGAAAGAGAAGAAUUUAGGACAAAGGAAAUGCCCUUUAAUAUGGGCCAGAGGUAGGAGGAAAUAAAACCUCUUGUUCAAACCUGUCAGAAGCAUUUUGGAUCUGGGCUCUGUGGCAUGGCAUAUGACUGAACAAUCAUAACUACACACCAGAGGUAAAUUUGACAAUGUCACAUGUGUGCCGUCCUCAAUCCAGCUAUUAGCGAAGAAAGAAAAAAACGAACAAGGAUGCAGUCCCACAAAACUUUCACUACCUUCUGCUGUGUGAAGACAAGUGGGAAAACUGCAGUCGAUGAAUCAAGAAGCAGGAUCUUCCCAGACAUCAAAUCUGUUGUUCUAGAUCUGGAACUCUGCAGUCUUCAGAACUAUCAUUUUGUUUGGUUAUUUAAAUUCCACAAAUGAGAGGAUCCAUCUGGUGAUUUUCCUUUACUUUUGUCUUAUUUCACUUAACUUCAUCUUCUCUGCUUCCAUCCAUAUUGCACAAAAGGAAUUAAGUCACAACAUAAAUGCAAGUUUAGAGUUGCUGAUCGAGACAACAUGAUCUGCGAGGUUAGAACCCUGCCCAUCGCCUCGUCUCAAGUCAAAGAGCUUUGUCAGGAAAAAAAAAUGAUUUCCUGCAGAAGAGUGGAGCGUGAUCCCAAGCAGAGAAGACUAACUGCAGGGUUGAACCAAUACUACAGACAAGAUAUCAAGGGAGAAAAUUUCCUCGCCAAGUGGCAAAGGACUUAACGAGUAUAAAUGGCACCUGGAUGGCAAGAAAUGGUGGCAAACUGGCUUUGACUCAUAUCCUGGAAUGAUGCUACCUUCCUUUCAAAUUGGUUGGGAUUCAGCGUGAACAGCCUUCAUUAUACUCUCCUGGAAUAAAGGAGCUGCGGAGAAGUGCUUCACCAUUGAGGUGCUGGCCUGUUUCAUCAGAGGAAAGAAAGUCCCUUGGGGCUCAUGGCUGAAAGCAUGCUAGUACCACCUAAGUGGAGUUCAAGAGCCAAGGAGCCUCAGAAGAAUAGCCCCAAACCUGGGGAGGUCAGGGAUUCCCCCACGGCAGUGCAUUGGCAUGUCUCACACCUGUGUGUUGUGUCCUGUGUGCUGAGGGCAGGACAUGACUUGCUGCCUGGGGGCAGGACAUGACUUGCUCCAGGGCUUCUAGAAAACAAGUGCUCCAUCAUGUGACUGGUGACCCACAGUUCAGGCACAGCCAUGGGGAAUAAGACAGGAUUACAAAAAACAAUAUUCCAGCUUGAGCAUCAGGGAGUGGGAGGUUGAAAGGAACUCAGGUCAUCAAGUUCCCAGUUUAGCUGACUGGAACUUACAGUGGCAUCCAGGUCCCAUGAGAGGUUGGAAUAAAACCUCAAAUUCAGAUGGAGGUUUGGCUAAGUGCAUUAGCUGGGUGAGGAAGGGAGAGGUCAGCUGAGGCAUGUUGGGGGUUCGGAUGCUUCAUCCACAUUGACCUUAGGAGACUGUUUCCAGACCUUGCAUGGGCAUCCUGACCACUGAGUUUAUGCUGGCUGCAAACUGGGAAGAGCAGAGCCCCAAGUGUUGGUUUCUUGAACUCACACGAACAAGCCAGGCAAGCAGAGCUGACAUUGUCAAAGCACAUGGGUGGAAUUUUAUCCAUAGAGCAUGAAGUAUCUGAAACUUUGAUAUUAACAGGUCUUGUUUGUGGAAUACCAUGCAGUCAGUCUUGCUAAGACUGGCUUACACUGAAAGAUGAAUUCGUAAAUAAUCAAAUCCCUUCUUAUAGUAAGGCCAUACCAAGACCUAUUAAUCAAAGAUUAGAAGGUAGUUAUUUAUUUUUUUUAUAGCUUUAGCAAUGAUGAGAGCAAGAGGAGAGACGUUGGGAAAAAUCAAAACUCAGAGCUAAAUUAAAAGUUUAGAAAUGUAAUCUUAGGAAUGUUAAAUGAAGCUGAGACAAAUACAACAGUGGCAACUGGUCUCCUACUAGAAGUUCACAAAGUCAGUGUAGGUAAAUCUAAGCUACAUAUUCUCAUGUGAGGGAACAGAGGAAUAGAGGAAACCAUUUCUGAGCAGUUGAAAGCUUUCUCUCUAACAUUACUAAACUGCGUACUGAAACAAGAUAUAUUCAUUCCUAAGUAAUUUUGUCUUCUGAAAAAAAGAUGACAUGGGGAAAAAGAAGGUUAUAGACAGACCACUCAAAACCAAUACAAUUUAUAUGAAAAAUGCAUUAUGAGACCAAUAUAAUAUCAAUAUUAGUACAGCAAGGACACUGUAAAAUUUGCACAAAGUGAAGAAUAUGCUAGAAACUAUAUUGUCAUUUAACAUAAUACUAUAACUAGCAAUUAAAGUAAGGUUAAUGUGCUUGAUGCAAAGAGAUGUAAGGAAGUUUGAAAUGGUUAAAUUAUAGAGACAAGGACAAAUGUGCAGAAUAAGCAGAACCAUGUGGAAAGAAUUGGUAAGCUAGGAAAGAGUGUGUUCAAACUGAGCCAAGCCAAGAGGAAAAAAAAAAAAAAAAUGAGGGGACUAAACAUCAUGUACAAUGAAUAACCCAUCCCUCGGUGGUUUUUGUCCAGCCGUUUUGGUACACUUUGCAUUAUCUGCUCCAACUUACAUGGCAUAAAGGUAUUAAUGUAAUGUGAAAAAAAAUUGUGACUAAACCAAUUUGAUUUCUUGGUUUUAUCUCCAUCAGUUCCCCCUAUAACUAUUGGU